rnacentral:rRNA from 1 species
UACGUAGGGGGCAAGCGUUGUCCGGAUUUAUUGGGCGUAAAGAGCGUGUAGGCGGCCUGGUAGGUCCGCUGUGAAAACUCGAGGCUCAACCUCGAGAUGUCGGCGGAAACCACUUGGCUAGAGUCCGGAAGAGGAGAGUGGAAUUCCCGGUGUAGCGGUGAAAUGCGCAGAUAUCGGGAAGAACACCUAUGGCGAAGGCAGCUCUCUGGGACGGUACUGACGCUGAGACGCGAAAGCGUGGGGAGCGAACAGG